AUUCAACGCUGGCGGCAGGCCUAACACAUGCAAGUCGAGCGGAGCGACGGACGGGUGAGGAAUGCCUAGGAAUCUGCAUGGUAGUCGGGGAUAACGUACGGAAACGGGCGCUAAUAACGCCUACUAUAAGAUGAGCCUUGGUCGGCUUAGCUAGUGGGGGGGGUAAAGGCCUACCAAGGUGCCGAUACGUAACUGGUCUGAGAGGAUGACCAGUCACACGGGAACUGAGAGACGGUCCAGACUCCUACGGGAGGCAGCAGGGGGGAAUAUUGGACAAUGGGCGAAAGCCUGAGCAAGCGAUGCCGAGUGUGUGAAGAAGGUCUUCGGAUUGUAAAGCACUUUAAGUUGGGAGGCGUUACCAACAGAAUAAGCACCGGCUAACUUCGGGCCAGCAGCCGCGGUAAUUC
rnacentral:rRNA from 1 species